rnacentral:rRNA from 1 species
GAGUGUAGAGGUGGGGGAAUUCGUGUGUAGCGGUGAAAUGCUUAGAUAUCACGAAGAACUCCAAUUGCGAAGGCAGCUCACUGGGGUACAACUGACACUGAGGCUCGAAAGUGUGGGUAUCAAACAGGAUUAGAUACCCUGGUAGUCCACACAGUAAACGAUGAAUACUCGCUGUUUGCGAUAUACAGUAAGCGGCCAAGCGAAAGCAUUAAGUAUUCCACCUGGGGAGUACGCCGGCAACGGUGAAACUCAAAGGAAUUGACGGGGGCCCGCACAAGCGGAGGAACAUGUGGUUUAAUUCGAUGAUACGCGAGGAACCUUACCCGGGCUUGAAUUGCAGAGGAACAUAGUUGAAAGAUUAUGGCCGCAAGGUCUCUGUGAAGGUGCUGCAUGGUUGUCGUCAGCUCGUGCCGUGAGGUGUCGGCUUAAGUGCCAUAACGAGCGCAACCCUUAUCAUUAGUUACUAACAGGUCAUGCUGAGGACUCUAGUGAGACUGCCGUCGUAAGAUGUGAGGAAGGUGGGGAUGACGUCAAAUCAGCACGGCCCUUACGUCCGGGGCUACACACGUGUUACAAUGGGGGGUACAGAGGGCAGCUACCGGGCGACCGGAUGCCAAUCCCAAAAACCUCUCUCAGUUCGGAUCGAAGUCUGCAACCCGACUUCGUGAAGCUGGAUUCGCUAGUAAUCGCGCAUCAGCCACGGCGCGGUGAAUACGUUCCCGGGCCUUGUACACACCGCCCGUCAAGCCAUGGGAGCCGGGGGUACCUGAAGUACGUAACCGCAAGGAGCGUCCUAGGGUAAAACUGGUGACUGGGGCUAAGUCGUAACAAGGUAGCCGUAG